UUAAUGUGGAGUAGUAACACCUUUUUCAAAGGGCUUCCAAAGGAGCUCCUCCUCAAGGAGAGGCUUGGUGAGAAGAAGCACAUACCAGAAAGGCCCUUGUUGAAGGCAGCACUUCCCCAUAGCCUGCUGUUUUCUCCACAGGCUUGAUCUUCCAAAUGUCAGUAAAACUUCUGCCCAGCAGUACGACCAAGGAGAACAUGCUGUGGGUAUGGACUGCCCUGGGCACCCUCGUUUCAGAGCUGCCUUUACCUUUGAAGAGUGAAUGGCUGUAAACCCAGAAGAGAGGAGCUCCACCUGUCCCACCACACUGAGGUCCCUGGGUGUUCGAGGCAUGUUCCUGCUCCUGCAGAACCAGCUCCAAGGAGAGGCAGGAGAGCUCAGUACAGACCUACAGAUUCAGCAUGCAGGCUCCAGAAUCCUAUUGAUGUAAUUCCGCUUUUCCUUGUUGGGAUUAGGACAAGCAUGCUCGCAGGCUCCCGUUAUCGCAGUGGAGGUAACGCGGGACGGAGCGAGGGCAGGCAGUGCUGAGUGAUCCUUGCCAGGUACCCAGCUGGCGCUGCCAAAGCGCGCGGGGCUUUCCUCCAAAUGCUUCCACCGCAGGAGAAACGUGUCUUCUGCUGCCAAGGGUCUGGGAAUGUCACUUAGCCUGGGGAAAGCUUGCCAUCGCUGUAUGACAGCCACUUCACCAGUCAGUCCAGUAACGCUCUGUGAAAACAAAAGGUUACGUGCCCCGUGCCAGAAGGACUGUCUUCACUGACAGUGGAACACGUCAGAUGUCUGGCCAUUUCAGGAGCUGUUCUCAGAAAGAACACGAGGAAAUGGGAGUCAUGUGUUACAGAGCAGUGUCCUCUGCAGUCCAAGGCACACUGACUAAACGUAUGUCACAUUCCUAUAGCACCUCUUAGGAUAAAUGUUGUAUGAACUAUAUCAAAAGUCUGGUUUCCUUCCUCAUAAAAAAGUUCCUUUGAAAUCUGAAGUUAUCUGAGUUGCCUGCACCCCAUUUUUUUGUUCAUUUCUUUAGCAAAUGAAUAAAGAUGGAUUUUUUUUCA
rnacentral:lncRNA from 1 species